CAAAGAGACAAGUCAACCAUUAAAACAGAACCAUCCUGUUCCAGAUUGUGAUUGCAAACGAUCCUCUGAUUCAUUUUUCUGCAUCAGUUCUGUCUCUAUUCUUACAUAAUAACCCUUCUGCUUGAACAGUUUGUCACUCCUGCUUCUGCAUCUUGGUUCAUAAUGUGAUAGACUUGCUGAACCAAUUCUGUCUCAUGAAAACAGAUCAUUCUCUUCAGCUAAGAUGAGUUUUUUUUUUUAUUUCUUGGCUCAACUCUGUUUUUAAGCUUUGUAUCUCCAAUAUUUUUGACCAUUACAUCAUACAGUUCCUAUGAAGAAAGUUUCCUUCUGAAUUCACUACUAAGUCAUCCUACUUUUCCAUAUGUACUCUUGUCGCAAUGUAUUUGGCUAAAUAGAUUCCGUUGGCAAGCAAUAAGCCCUAGCCGCCUACCAGAUUCUGCACCUUUGAUGGUAUCGUCUUAUUACUGCCAAUGCAAUAAGGAACAGUGAGGUUCAUAUCCACCCUUCCGAUGUACAAGUUUGUUUGGUGCAACAGAUUAAUUUGGACAAGGAUCGUGAAUUGACCAAAACUUGUAAUUAAUGUUAUGCUUGUUUAGUAAGUAAUGAAUAGAAUGGUUUAAUUUUGGUAUUAUAUCCCAUAAAAUCAUCUCCUACCGAUUAUUAGUUUGAUUUUUCUUUGUUUGACCAGAACUCUUAAGUUUAGAAUUUGUUUUUGCUGAGAAUUUAAUUAAUGCAAUUCAAUUGGAUUCUGAAGAUAUAUGUCAAUAUACUAUUUCUUUGUUAAUAAAUUAUAUUAGGAAUGGAUAUUCAAUUCUACUCUGCAGAGAAUAUUAUAUAAUUAAUGCAAGAUCUACACAUAAUUAAUGUUGUAGAACACUGGAUUCUGAAACAAUAUAUCUUUGUUAACAAACUAAUUAGUAACGUAUAUACAAAUAUAAGCAAAUAUUUAAAGGGGGAUGGUCAUUUGAUCUUAAACCCAAAAAAAACAUCUUCACAAAAGAAAAGAGAUACAAAGAAAGCAAUGUCAGCACAGAAGAUUCAACUUGCUUCUUUGAUCCUAACUUUUUUUCUUCUGUUUUCUCAAACAACUGGUAGAUGUAACUAUAGAAGGCCACACUCAGGCCCUUGUAAGAAGGGUGACGACUGCAAGAACGUGUGCAUACUGCCUUCAGAAGAUCCAACUUUUCUAGCAUGUCUUACUGGUCCCCCAUUGUUUGGCAUAUGUUGUUGUUUAGUAAAACAAAAAUAGUCUUGUCAUUACCUAUCAUAAGAUUUAAUAUCAAUAAAAGUUGUGUUUGCAUCGUUUUUAAA